GGUCGGGUCCUGUGCGACCGGGGCCCGUGAACCGAGUCAGGGCCGGAAGGCAGCAGCUCUCAGCGGAAUC
rnacentral:SRP_RNA from 1 species